ACUUUCUAUUUUCUUCAAACAUGAUGAGUACCGCUGACGAGAAUAGAGCCAAAUUUUGGGAGAAUAUUUCCCAAAAAAUAAAUCGAUAUAAUCCACCACAACAUCUAUGGACCAACUUGAACGAGAACGAUUUGGACAUUAGUGAUCUACCUGAAGAUAUAACAGUAUCUCCUGAAUUAUGUGAGGAAUUUGUUAUAUCCCAAAAAAUCACCCUGCAACACUCAAUUUCAACCUUUCAGUUAAUACGAUGCUACCAACACAUCAUCCGCUUGUUACAAACAAUACUAAACUAUUUGUAAACUGUUGUAAAUUGUACUGCGAAUGGAGUAUUAACCAGAAUAGUGGUAUGCAUGAUCUAUCAAAUUGUCAAUAUGAUGAGCCGAAGUUUAUAUCAUUUUUUGCAGGACAACCCACAAUCGCACUCGACAAUAACAACAUUGAUGAACAUCGCCAAUACCUCACAAAUACCACAUGUUUCUUUUAGUUCUACUUAGCGUACAAUAUAUACUCAUACUUGUUUUAAUUUUUCACAGUUUUCAUGCACUGUAAUCAUUUAAUAAAGUAUCCACAUGAA